rnacentral:rRNA from 1 species
UACAGAGGUCCCAAGCGUUGUCCGGAAUUACUGGGCGUAAAGCGCACGUAGGUGGUUUGUUAAGCUAGCUGUGAAAUCCCCGGGCUCAACCUGGGCACUGCAGUUAGAACUGGCAAGCUAGAGUAGGGUAGAGGGGUGUGGAAUUCCAGGUGUAGCGGUGAAAUGCGUAGAUAUCUGGAGGAACAUCAGUGGCGAAGGCGACACCCUGGACUCAUACUGACACUGAGGUGCGAAAGCGUGGGGAGCAAACAGG